rnacentral:rRNA from 1 species
UGAAGAGUUUGAUCAUGGCUCAGAUUGAACGCUGGCGGCAGGCCUAACACAUGCAAGUCGAACGGUAACAGGAAGCAGCUUGCUGCUUUGCUGACGAGUGGCGGACGGGUGAGUAAUGUCUGGGAAACUGCCUGAUGGAGGGGGAUAACUACUGGAAACGGUGGCUAAUACCGCAUAACGUCGCAAGACCAAAGAGGGGGACCUUCGGGCCUCUUGCCAUCAGAUGUGCCCAGAUGGGAUUAGCUUGUUGGUGAGGUAACGGCUCACCAAGGCGACGAUCCCUAGCUGGUCUGAGAGGAUGACCAGCCACACUGGAACUGAGACACGGUCCAGACUCCUACGGGAGGCAGCAGUGGGGAAUAUUGCACAAUGGGCGCAAGCCUGAUGCAGCCAUGCCGCGUGUAUGAAGAAGGCCUUCGGGUUGUAAAGUACUUUCAGCGGGGAGGAAGGUGUUGUGGUUAAUAACCGCAGCAAUUGACGUUACCCGCAGAAGAAGCACCGGCUAACUCCGUGCCAGCAGCCGCGGUAAUACGGAGGGUGCAAGCGUUAAUCGGAAUUACUGGGCGUAAAGCGCACGCAGGCGGUCUGUCAAGUCGGAUGUGAAAUCCCCGGGCUCAACCUGGGAACUGCAUUCGAAACUGGCAGGCUUGAGUCUUGUAGAGGGGGGUAGAAUUCCAGGUGUAGCGGUGAAAUGCGUAGAGAUCUGGAGGAAUACCGGUGGCGAAGGCGGCCCCCUGGACAAAGACUGACGCUCAGGUGCGAAAGCGUGGGGAGCAAACAGGAUUAGAUACCCUGGUAGUCCACGCCGUAAACGAUGUCUACUUGGAGGUUGUGCCCUUGAGGCGUGGCUUCCGGAGCUAACGCGUUAAGUAGACCGCCUGGGGAGUACGGCCGCAAGGUUAAAACUCAAAUGAAUUGACGGGGGCCCGCACAAGCGGUGGAGCAUGUGGUUUAAUUCGAUGCAACGCGAAGAACCUUACCUGGUCUUGACAUCCACAGAACUUUCCAGAGAUGGAUUGGUGCCUUCGGGAACUGUGAGACAGGUGCUGCAUGGCUGUCGUCAGCUCGUGUUGUGAAAUGUUGGGUUAAGUCCCGCAACGAGCGCAACCCUUAUCCUUUGUUGCCAGCGGUCCGGCCGGGAACUCAAAGGAG